GGUUGGACAAAUUUAUAUUUGUUUUCAAGCAAUUAGUUUCUGGGGUGGGAAACU
rnacentral:ncRNA from 25 species